CUCAUUUUAUCUUAGUGUUAUUUACAAUGUAUAAAGAUUGAUUGUACUUGUUGAGAGAUGAGACUUUAAUAAAACAUUGAAUUGAUUGAAUUGAUUGAGCUAUCACAUAGCCCGGAUAUAUAAAGUCGGUCCCAAACCGAUACCGGUGAUAACACCAAAUCGUCCAUCAUAAAAAUCGCAAUUUUUAUUGAAAUUAUUUUAUUUUUUUACAUUUUUCUUCAGGAAUUGUAAUAUUUUUAUGCUUUAAAGGGAAAUUAAGGUCCUUUGUGCUAUUAUCAAACUUUUUUAGGAUCCUUAGUGCUCCUAUGUGUUCCUUUGUGUACAAAGGAGGUCCUUUGCGGUGUUUUUAGAGACCGUAUUUCUAAACGUUUCAAUGCGGUACGUCUAAACACCACCUAGGCCGCCGUUGUGCACUAAGCUCCAGGAAGUGCACUAAGCCCAUGAUGGACCAGUCAAAGAAGCACCAAGGUCAUUCAGUACGAUAUACAGAUUUGAAUAAAGAGCAUAUAUUUAAAUUUUGGUGUAAAUAUAUUCAGAAAUAAAAGAGAAAUUAACAUUUUAUUUGACACGCGCCGAUUUUGUGUAAUGUGUCCAUUCAAAAAGGACCAGUCAAAUAAGCACCAAGGUCAUUCAGUACGAUACAGAUUUGAAUAAAGAGCAUAUAUUUAAAUUUUGGUGUAAAUAUAUUCAGGAAUAAAAGAGUAAUUAACAUUUUAUAUGACACGCGCCGAUUUUGUGUUAUGUGUCCAGUUGUCCUAUGAUAUCGUUGAUUGAAUCCAAUGAAGCUUGACGAAUUUAUAAAUACUGCACUAAGGAUAUGUACCAAAGGUUAAAUAUGCACCAAGAUCAUUAAUCAAGAUAAAUUCUUAUUUUAAAAAAAAUAUGUUAAAAGUUGGUUCGAUGAUAUAAAGAGAUUUAAAAGUUAUUAACAUUUUUAACGUGACACGCGCACUACUUGUGUAAU
rnacentral:lncRNA from 1 species